rnacentral:rRNA from 1 species
CGCGUAGGCGGGCCGCCAAGUCAGGGGUGAAAUCGUUCGGCUUAACCGGACAAGUGCCUCUGAUACUGGCGGCCUCGAGGGGGGUAGGGGCCUGCGGAACUUCCGGUGGAGCGGUGAAAUGCGUAGAUAUCGGAAGGAACGCCGGUGGCGAAAGCGGCGGGCUGGACCCCUUCUGACGCUGAGGCGCGAAAGCCAGGGGAGCGAACG